rnacentral:rRNA from 1 species
AGCGAACGCUGGCGGCAGGCCUAACACAUGCAAGUCGAACGGAUCCUUCGGGAUUAGUGGCGGACGGGUGAGUAACACGUGGGAACGUGCCCUUUGGUUCGGAACAACUCAGGGAAACUUGAGCUAAUACCGGAUGUGCCCUUCGGGGGAAAGAUUUAUCGCCAUUGGAGCGGCCGGCGUCUGAUUAGCUAGUUGGUGAGGUAACGGCCCACCAAGGCGACGAUCAGUAGCUGGUCUGAGAGGAUGAUCAGCCACACUGGGACUGAGACACGGCCCAGACUCCUACGGGAGGCAGCAGUGGGGAAUCUUGCGCAAUGGGCGAAAGCCUGACGCAGCCAUGCCGCGUGAAUGAUGAAGGUCUUAGGAUUGUAAAAUUCUUUCAGCGGGGACGAUAAUGACGGUACCCGCAGAAGAAGCUCCGGCUAACUUCGUGC